ensembl:lncRNA
UUUUUUUUUUUUUUUGUUAUUCUUUUAUUUUUGUUUGAUUUUUAUUUUGUUUUGCUUUUAGUGGUGAUGUAGUUUUUUACCUCCCAUGGUAAAUCUGAAUGUUCUUCCUGGUGAGUUUGUAUACUAGGACAAUAGCAUUAGCAAUGCUGCUGCUUUGUGAGUUCUACUUCCAUGACCAGGAUCUUGCAGAAAUAUUCCUUUCACAUAUCUAUAUGUGUAUAAAUAUAUACAUUAUUAUAUAUAAAUAUAUUUAUAUAUAAAUAAUAUACACAAAUAUAUAAUGCGUAUAUAUGUAUAUAAAUAUAUAUUAUAUAUAAUUUUUAUAUAGAAAAAUAUAUGUAUAUAUAAAAAUAUAUUAUAUUUAUAUAUAAAUAUAAAUAUUUUUACAUGUUUGUGCACACAGACACCUUGUUUCAGACAUAGACAACUUUUUUUAUGCCCUCUGUCAAUUUUCCAGCAUUCCAGUUUAACAGAUGGAGUCAGCUAAAGGACUUCCCUUUCCAUUUGGAUUAUUUUUCUCUUGAAAUCCCAUCCUGAGAGUUGGAGAAGUUAUUUCUAGGAUCAAAUAUAAGAAAGAAAAAACUAUUAAUUGUUUCCAAGUUCCUCUGUUAAUUUAUCCUGCUAUAUUUUCAGGUGAGCAGCAGAGGCUGGAUUCAGUUAUUCACUGUUCUCACAGAGACCUUAGGAGCCAGUAUAGGAUUUUGUUGUGUUAAUUAGACAAGUCUACAUAGAGAAGAGAAGAGCUGGUAUUUCUCCAAAUCUUAUUUCUGUGUGGACAUCAUGAACCUGAUAUUAUACACACACAGAGUCAGCCAGUGGUAUUGUUAAAAAAAAGAAUUAUGACUUCAGUAAACACCUGGAGACAUAAAGAGUGGUAGGUGUGGGAAAACUGCUUUCUUUCAGUACUGCAGGCUGAUAAAUCCCAAGGAAAUCCAUUUCACACAGAAACCUUUCUGGUUCUGAGGGUGAGCCAUUGCAAUCAUUCAGUGUAGGAGGUGUAAUUGGUACCUUCCCCCCAUCCCCUUCUCUGAUAUGUGAAUUUUUCACAGGAGCCAACACAGGGCUGCAGUUCAGUCUUCCGGGUGCAGAGAUCGCUGAUAGGGAAUUACUCUGUAAAAUUCAGAGGCCUGAGUGCCCUAAAUGACAGCUGAGUUGCCCUGUCAGCGCUCAUUUGCAUGUUUUUUAUAACAAACUCAAAAUAAUAGAUUUAAAUAAAGAGAUAGGAAGAGAGAGUACCAAGACUGAGGUUAGCCUGAGUAUGCCUGUAGUGCAAAAACACAGUAAACAGGUAGGAGAAGAGGUAUCAAGAGGCUGGAAGGAAAUUCUCUGGGCAAAAUCUGGUGCCUGUGGUCACUGGGAGGGGAGGGCAAUAAGCAGAGGGUGCUGUGGCUGACACCCUGGCACUGGCACUACAGCAGGAGAAAAAGCAUCUGGUGCAACAAUUGCACUGCAAGCUGCAAAUGGGAGCUCAGGGACUGUCAAAGGGGAUUUAAAAAUCCCUUUAUAAAGUCCUUUUCUAAAAUGCUCCUGCUGGAGAAUGCAGGCAGGGAUGGUAAUGAACAUGGGAGCAAUUCAAUGUCCCAGGCCUCUGACUCGAGUCCUGACUGAGAUGGUUUAACACUUUUGACUUUAUAAAUUGAGUACAGUAAAUAAAUUACAUUCCUUACCAUCAGUAAAAGUUUAUUUCUUGGCACAUAUUUAUUGAUGUUUGCCAAGUCAAAUAUUAAAAUAUAGGUGGCAUGACUUCCAUUACUUCUCUGGAUAUUGUUUUCUACUCUUUGUUUGUUGUCUUGGAACCUUUCCCAGUGUGUCACAGGCACCAUGUUGUGUUAAUAUUUUUUUAUUUUUAUACAGCAUUUCUCAUCUAAUUGUUUUUUUCUCUUUGAUACUUUUACAUUCUUCAGGUAUUUACUAGUGUCAAUCUUCUGAAAGUAAGGCUGUACCUUCCCUAUGUGUACAAGGUGCAUCAUGAUUUUUCUCAAGAAUGCAUGAAAUUUGUGUCACGCUCAGCAUCCUAUUGCUCUGAAAACUGCUGCUUGGUUGCAUUUUAUUUUGCUUUCUUGAAAGAUGUCUGUAUGUCUGUAUAUUGCUUUAACAUUUUGAUACUCUGUGAAUUUUUUUUACCUUUGACAUUUUUCAGUAGUUUGGGACAUAAACAGAACAAAAAGGAAAUAAGUAUUUUUAGCAAAUUGAGUUGUCACUGCUCCUGUGUAGCUUAGUGUCAGAAACUUGUCUCAGGGACUCCUGUUUUCACUUUGCAGAACUUCUGUAACAAAGAAACACGAGUGAAAAAGAGCCAUGCUUCUUCCUGGAGUGGAGCACCAAAACAGUGAUUAGAGUUCCAGCUGUGCCCAUGAUACCUCUGACUUUUCUUCCAGAUCACAGAGGGUGAUCUGUUUACAUUCUUCAGUCGUAGAAAAAAAAUUCUUGUGGCAUGUUUGCCCGAGUUUAUGCUGCUCAACAAUGUUAAUGAUAGUUUGUUUCAGGUAGUUCUCAUGUAAAAACCCAGCUUGCUCAAACCAGUUACUGAAACUAAUGCUUAAAAAAUUCUUAAUGCAUAGUUUUAUUGAAAAACAAAACUCUAUAUAAAAUUUUUUUUUUUCAAAAAGUGACUGCAAGAAAAGCAGCCUUCUUUGGAACUGCAGAGGGAAGUACUGAUCUGAGAAUAAUUUAGGAAAUGUUUUCCUUGAAGCUUCUCACAUCUGUCUCUUUAAGUGAAAGUACAAAGGUUUUCUUUAAUGACUUUUGGAACACCAUUUAGUGGAAAAACAGCUCUAAGUUGCAUAAGUAAUAAUAGUCUUGCAUAUAAAAGUACUUUAAAAUUUCUUAAUAUUUUAAAAAAAGCAAAAAUAAGUUUAUAAUAUCCAAAUACACAAACAAAUUGGUAUUGAGAUGUUCCUUCUACGUUUCCCACCAAGGACACGAUAAGGAGUUUUUGAGAAUUUUUAAACUAAACAAAAUGUUAUUGUACUUUUGAAUACAGGAGCUGGCUAGCACUUAAACAUCCACCACCUUGAUAAACCACAGCUGUGCAGGCCCGUCAUAAUGCUCACAAAAGUUCUUCCUAUGGCUUUGGUCAAAUGUACUGGAGUCCAGGGCAUUUGCGCUCCUCUAGCAGCAGGGAAUUUAUUCUGUUACCAUCCACAGGGAGAUGAGAUUCAAAGUGUACUCCUUGCACAGAGGGGCCACUGGAAGUGCCCAGAGUCAGCUAUUUACAGUUCUCCACUGCUGCUCUGCUCAUGAAGGCACUACCCCACUUUGUGAUCAGCUCGCUGCCCCUUUCACCCUGGCUCAGGCACACUGUGCAUUCCCACAGAGCUAGCACAGGCCGUGGGCAGCUCCCGCUCUGAGCUGGAGCUUGCAGAGGUCUUCGGAGAUCUUGUUACUAUCAGUAGUAACAUACUUGAAGAUUAUUUCCUUUGGGUUGUACUCCACUGUAGACUUGCUUGUUCAUUUUCUUUUGAUACAAACUUUCUGUGGCAAAAAGAGAGCUGUGAUUUUUGAAAGCUAAAUUUCUCCAUCAGCUAAUUAGGUUCAUUUUUAAUUCAGCUUGCACAUAAGACACUUGAAAAAGAUGAUUUCCAAAAGCAUACAUUGAAGUGGGCAUCCCUUUUCCAAAUGUUGUCAGUGGCAGUUAAACUUCUCUUUUUCAGCUUCAAAAGCAUUCCCCUCUUUGGGCUGUUCAACUCCUGUGAUGUUUUAUUUGUAAGACUAGAGUGUACCUAAACAAUAAUUCCUUUAUUCCGGUUAAAGCAUUGUUCCAGCAUGUGCUAGGGAUUUAGACUGGAAGUCGUACAUCAGUUCUGACAAAAAUUUUAUUUUUUUCAGAUAUCCUUUUCCUUUUCAGAAGCCUAAGUAAUUCAAACACAAAUUAUAUCAAAAUGCAAAGCACAACUUGCUAAGAAAUGUCAUGGGUUGGAAUAAUUUUUAAUGUCUAUUACUCCAGUAUUAAUAGUAUUAUUUCCCAUAUAAGCAUACAUGUAAUACCUGUCUUAACAGUUUGAAGAGAUCAUAACACUGCUCACCUACCACUGCUAUUGUUGAAGGUUUUUACACAAGACUACUCAGGAGGGUCCCAUCCCUGAGGGGGGGAAAUUCCCUUACUGCAGAAUUAGAUGGCAUCAAUUUUGCAGGAUGCCUGUGAAAAGUUGCCAAAUUAAGUUUUACAGGAGAAAAUUCUCAUAGAAGAGCACUUUGAAAUUAUUUUUGCCGCUUGCAUCUUUGCCUUUUGUGAGUUUUCUUUGGGACCUAAAGGGGCUGGAAUUAGUAAAAUAAGAUCAAAUUAUUGCUUGACUUAGCAAUCCCAAAUCCUCUGUGCACUUUUCCAGAGGUGAAAAAUUGGUGUCAGGAAGAAGACAGAACAACUUUAGUACAGAUCAUACCUCUAAGAACUCUUUAUUGAAGCACAGGAUUAACUGCUUUCAUCCCCUCUUUUUGCAUGUGCUGUCCUCCUUUCAGCAGGAGUAGGGUACACUCUGUCAGAAUUCAUGUUCCUCCUCCCUCUGUGACUGAAGAAACUCCUGAUGUGACUUGCAGAUGGAGCUCCGUUGUAACCCCAUCAGCACACACAGUGUUCUGGCUGCCCACUUGGCACUUGGGAUUGUGCUGCUCCAGGCUGGGGCUGUGUUUGGCAGAAAAGCUCCAUCAGUGCAGCCAAGCACAACUAAAGCAGUGACAAGUGGGUCCCCCUUGUGCAGAGCUUUCUCUACAGAUGAGCAAGAGGCAGCUCCAGAGUGGAAGCUGCCAUCUGCUUCACCUCAGCGUGGCAGGAGGCCAGGGCUGAAAAUUCUGCUGUUUUGAAGUGACUGACACACAAAAUAACCUCUUGGCACUCUCUCUCUCUGGGUGUCCUUGUGUGUCCCUGGCCGCAGAGCAUCUUGUACCCUUUAGGUGUGGUUCACCACACACGGGUGCAGCCAGGCACAUCCCAUUGGGGACACCACAUCCUGCUUUGGCAAAGUGGAAGGUGGUGCUGCACAGCCAGGCUGGGGGGAGGCAGCUCCUGGGGCUGUUGGCAAGGGGGUCUUGCAGCCACCUCCGGGCACACAGCCUGUCCCAGCCAGCCCUGCUCACGCUGGAAGCAGCAACACUUCAGCAGCAGCAGCGACACUUCCUCAUUGGUAACCUGCUCUCCUGUUUUUGAGUUUCUGUGCUGCCAUGGGCCUUGCAGAACAGGUUCCCAGUGCAGCCAGUUGUCAGGCUGGUGGCUGACACAACAGCCCAUGCUGUGGCAUGUGCAGAUAUACCUUUCUUUUUCCUACUGUUUUUUUGGGUUUUUUUUAAUUGUUGGCUCUGGUGUGUUCUGCUGCUGCACUCCUCCAGCACAUGCCCCUGGGCUGGCCAGGACCUGGCAGAUGUGCCUUGCCCCUCCAGGUCUGCCCUUCCAUAGCAAGGAAGGAAGUUCCUCACCUGCCAGCAGUUGCUGUAUCACAACUGAUUUGGACAAGGCAUGAUGGCAAAUGCUGCCACAGGCACUGGAGCUCAGGUUGCAAAAGCUGCAGAAGACUGUUUUUAUGAAGUCUUUUACGGUGGAAUUCAUCUCUCCUGACUUUCUAUUGCCAAAAGCUGAGCUUGACCAGCCUUCCACAUCCAUAUCUGGAGUUCAUCCCAUCUCCUACCUAAAGUAAGUAUCUAGGAUAGCUCAAAGGGCCCAUGCCUUUGGAAAUAUUUAUUUGUCCUCCUCUGACUAUAAGGUGAACCUGAGUGGCUCAUCUGGACAUGUCUGUGCUGAAUCCAUGUGGUGCUGCCUUGUGAGUGUUUAUUACCAUCUGCAUGCAAGCAUCACAGAAAGUGUCAUGUCCCCUGUAGAUAAACUUCUUGUGGGUGUCUCAUCUUGGGAACUGUGUUGAAGAGCCUGCUCUCCUGACAGACAGUGGGCUUGCGGGGGCCUUUCCAACAAAUUUCAUUUUCCCCAGCUGGUUGCAGACUGACAAGAAUAAGUAGGAACCCAUUGCUAAUGAUCAUACAGUUUUUUUUCCCCUGCAAACUUUUCAAUACUGUAAUAGUUAAAAGCAGUCCAAAAAAUACAGGUUGCAAUAAGUGUAAAUUUGACAUUGUCAGAUGAUGCAAAAUCUGCUUCAUGCUAAUGAUAUUCUGGUAAAUGAAUCUAAGCUUUUUAAGCAUUAAAAACAUUAAAAUAAUUAAGGCAUUAAAAAGUAGGCAAAGAUAAAUGUUCUACGCCUGAGUAAAAGUAUGCAAAUGAGAAUCAAUUUAUCUGAAGGAUAGGUUUGAUGGAUUUUCCAUAUUCUGAACUCUUUUAAGAGAAAAUGAGUUUCAACAUGUACAUUGUUCCCUUGCAUUAAAACUAAAUUAAUUAAGCAAGAAGUCAGCAUUUAAAUAGUAAUGCAGGAACACUGCAUUAAAAUUAUCAUAAAAAAUAACACUUUGUUCUGUUGCAAAUAUUCUUAUGAAAUGGUAGAAAUAAGCUGUGUUUUGAUUUGCUCACUAAGAGCAAAUAUUGAGAGCAUAUAGUCCUGCUGGUAAACAGAAAAAAUUGAAACUUUAAAUUAAGACCCAUAAUAAAUCAAUCAACAUAUAACAAUCACAGUAAAAUGUGUAAAAUUCUAUCGAGCAAAAUCCAAUAACAAGUGCAAAUAUGGCAGAUAGAAUGAUUGUCUGCAGUUAGCCUGCAAGCUUCAGGGGGCAAUGAGAGUUUGCAUAUUUAUGUACUUAACAAGUUUAUAAUUUCUUUUAGCUUUCAUGAUGUUUUUUUAGUUCUGACUAAAUGUUCUGAUUCCAUAUACUUAAUUGAGUUCACUUAGUCCUUAGCAAAUCCCUUGAUGUGUUUUUAUACAAAAGAAGAUAAUCAAGGCUCUCCAUGCAACCCUCUGCAUUGGGGUUGUGACACAGAAGGCUCAUACCCAAAACUGGCAGAUGUCCAUGAGCCGUUCAUGCCCUUCCAGGAGCUCAGCCAUCCUUGGUGUCUCUGUGACCCUCCUCCAAGGCACCAAGGAGUGAAAGCUAGGAGGCUCCAGGUGCUUGGAAAAGCUGAGCUCGCCCUCCCAGGGCUCUUGGUGCCUGAGCUGAACCACUCCAUGGUUGUUGGGAGUUCCCUUUGAGAGGUGCUUAAUACAGC